GACGAAGGUGGCAAGCGUUGUUCGGAAUCACUGGGCAUAAAGCGCACGUAGGCGGCGACGUAAGUUGGGUGUGAAAUCCCUCGGCCCAACCGAGGAACUGCGCCCAGUACUGCGUUGCUUGAGGAUCCAAGGGGUGCAUGGAAUUCCCGGUGGAGCGGUGAAAUGCGUUGAUAUCGGGAGGAACUCCGGCGGCGAAGGCGGCGAUCUGGACGAUGACUGACGCUGAGACGCGAAAGCGUGGGGAGCAAACAGG
rnacentral:rRNA from 1 species